ensembl:lncRNA
CAGUCGCACAAAAGCCUGCAGAGUGGAGGCAGAACCACCUCAGACUUGCAACAGGAUUCAUCUCAAAAUAGGUCAUGAUUUUGCUGAGUCAGCCCCAGUGGCAGAACAGCAUCCAAGCAAUGUGAACGCACCAUGCGAGGUCACAGUCUUUGCAACACCUGCCGAUAGUUAUCCAAUCACCUUCAGCCACCAUAAAACUGCUGUGCUGGUGUGUUUGGUGAGGCUGGCUAACAGGAUUUGCAUGCAGCAGGAAAGACGGUACCGGAUGAUGAAAUCUUUUUAACAGCAAAAAAAGAUUAGAAGCUACCUACAAUGCUGUCUGCGAUUGGAGACUGGAGGCUGUCUUUGCUAAAAGCCGUGGUUGUCCUUCAUAAUUACACUGCAGCCGCACUUGAGGCCACAGUGGUAAUUUGUCAGUGCAGUGAAAGUGCUUUGGAAAUUGCACUUGUUUUCACUCACGGUUUAGCCUUCGUCCUAUCAGCCAUGCUGCAAGUCAAUGCAUUCUUCAGGUUGACGUUGCAAGGUUUACUCUCAUGUGCUCCCAGUCUGCUGCCUUUGCCCUGGUUCAGCUGGCACUGUCUACCCCGUCAACACUGCAAGGCUGCGUCAGACCCGCUGUCUCUGUCAUUCUGACUUUACAUGGAUGCAUCAGCCCCUUGCUGUCUACCAUGUGAACUGUCACUGGCCACAGACUCUUGCCAUAAUCUGGGACCUGCCAUCUCUUCAAAGUUUCCCCUGAAGAUGCAACAAUGUUUUUAAGGAAAUUACUUGAACAUCUUUUAAUUUCCAUGGACAAAAUUAUUCCAGGAUUGUCUUUAAUGCUAAUUUUAAAGUCACAAUUUUAAUUUGAAUAAAAUUACUGUGAAAUAUUUGCUGUCUAUUUUGUAAUCAACCACAAUGUUUGGUUAUACAUCCACCAACAUCCUCCAGACAAACUCAGACACUUAAGAGAAGUAUUUGACACUUUAUUGCAUCGGCUCCACUAAUAAAUAGUGCCCCACUCCCUCAGUAAACCAAUAGUUUUCCAACAGAUGUUGCUCGGAUUUGGUGCAGUUCCCUUGUCAAUGCUUCCAGUCAACAAACCAACUGAAAACCCGUUUGAUUACUCGGGUAACUAAAUGACCUGUAAAGCUGUCCAGUUUUCCAACCAAUUGUUUCACCGGCUCAGAAAAAGCUCAAUAUUGAAAAGUAAAUGCGAAGGCUAUGGAUAGACAGUGUGCGCCGAAAUUGCAGUUAAGGCUUGAUUGUAACAGUAAGAUAAAUGUCUCAACCUAGACUAAGAAAUGCAACAGGAAAAUAAAAGAAACACAAGCAGCCUUUAUCUUGUCGGUACACAGCUAUGUGUAUGUAACUCUGCUCUCUCCUUGGUUUAUGAAAGACAGACAUUUGAAAGAGAACGUGCAGCUAACAUCUGAACUACUAUUCAAACAAAUGGCUACAGUAAGACUUACUGCUGCAUAAUUGUGUUUAUGUCCCCUUGGGCCUUGGGACGGGCCACUUCACUCCACACAAUCCAACAGCACUGACACACAUUUGGCUAAAAAACAAUGCAAGAUGAACAUAUAAAUGUUUUGGUUUCAAACUGCCAAAACCAUAGUAAAGUGUAGCCAUCUUUUUUUCUGGUUUGACAGGACAUUUUAAAUGACACAUUCAUAUUUCAAAUCAAAGAGUAACUACAAUAAUAUAAAAUUUCUUUCAUAUGAAAACAAAACAAAACAAAACAAAACAUAACAAAGAAUGACGUAGCUAUAAAUGGUCCCGAUAUUGCAAUCACAGUAGUCGUGGUGGCAGGGUGUGGGGUGGCAACAAGGUGCAGCUUCUACUCAGGUAAGCAACUUCACUUCAUGUAGUUCCACUGUAAACUGAGACGGCAAAUCAGCGAUAAGGUCUCUCUCUUCAGCAGCGAGGAAACACAGGUCAGCAAAGAAUCAGAGACAGGAUUGUACACACUAAGAAAGGUGCGGUCAGACUAAGACCUACUGAAAAUAAUAAAAAAAAAAGCAGCAUUAUUCACACUUUAUUUAAAGAAAACGAACUGGAGAGAAAUCCUUCUAGAUUGGUAGGCCACUUAAGUUGAUUAUGCAACUAGCUAGGUCUGUAGUAGCUAUUAUAUCCUGAUGAUAGAGUCUGAGAUAUUUUAUAUAUUACCGGCUUCUUCGGGUAAACAGGCUAUAGUACCGUACCCCAAAAGACAGCAACAUUUUACACAGUAGUGUAUUAAGAGCUUUACAAUGAUGUGUGUCAUGAUCUGAGUCAGUUAAAAUGCUGCUCCUACGAUAGUGUGUAAAGCUGUAAUGCAAGAUCAGUUUUUUUUUUGUUUUGUUUUUGUUUUAAUUUCACACUGCCAGUGUUUUGAUAUCCAUCUUCAUCAGGGCAUAGAUAUCAAAAUGUGACACUGUGAAGAUAAAAAAUUAUAAUGCAUAACUAUUAUUUUGGAGUUGGCACCUAACUCAUUUUGUUGUGUGUUGCUGCCCUUCACCUACUUUUUAAGUCUGAGAGAAAAUCUGAUUCAAACCUGUCAAAUAAACCUUUCUACAUGAUUGCAAUCACAGCAAAGCUGAGUGACCUAUGGCUUGGAAUGGUUUAAGAUGGUCAUUUACUUCAAAGCGGAGUAAAGACUUCAAAAUGAUUAGCUGCCAAAAAAGGUGAUCCCAACCCACUAAAAAUCAUUGCACUAUAGAAAAAAGGAACCAGUAACUUCAUCACGGUCUUUUUCACAUGGACCUUCACCCACACUUAACCCUUUCAUCUACUAAUGGCCCCAACAGGCUCUCUACAUAAUCAAAAUAAUCAGCGCAAAUAAACGUACGAUUUACUGACAAGCUUUCAGCAUGGCUGUGAAGGAAGAAUCCAAAAUGGCCCAGUAACAGACUUUAUGUCAGUUGCUAUGGGUUCACUCACCCAGAUGAACGAUCAAAGCGUUUACUAUUAGUACCAGCCCAAACCUUGCCACCACUGACAAAACAACUUCUUUAACAAUGAUGCCAAAGGCGUUCGAGAAAAGAGACAGUGAGAUGCAGAUAAGAUGCAACUGUUAGAUACACAAUGUUUUACGUAAAAGACUGCAUUAAAAAGAGCCAGGACACAAGACACAUAAAACGGGAAAUCGUCCUCUCUUGGUGUCUGUGUGCAGCUGUUUUUCGGCGCUGUCUGUAUGUGGAUUUCAAUAUGUGUCCGCGAGGCUUUUCUAGGUGAUGAAGGGUGCGCUUCACUCCACUGUCACUGACUUGGCCAGGUUUCUUGGGCAGUCCACCUGUAUUAAAAGAGAAGAAAUCACUUGCUGCAUGACAGGCAACAGUUGUGCAAAUACGCUUCUGCUGUUGACAAAGUGCUAUUGUGAAACCUCCAAGCAAAAGACAAAAUCGUCACAAAAUCCCAUUUUAAUGACAGAACCACUUUUACUCUCCUCAAAUUCUGCCCUCAUCACAUGGACUCCAUAGAUACUGUGAGAUUCGGAGGAAGGUGGGUGGGCGUGCGAUUGAAUUGCGUGCACAUAAAUGUUUGCCUCUCGGUCAGAACGGCAGCACGAUCUGGCACAGUCGGCAACAGUCUUUCCAUUACUCAAAAAUAACAGCUAACAGG